rnacentral:rRNA from 1 species
GAUGAACGCUGGCGGCGUGCCUAAUACAUGCAAGUCGAGCGGUAAGGCUUUCACUCUGUAUUUAAUGAGUUGAAUAUAGUGUGAAAGUACACGAGCGGCGGACGGCUGAGUAACGCGUAGGAACGUACCCCAAAGUGAGGGAUAAGCACCGGAAACGGUGUCUAAUACCGCAUGUGAUCUUCGGAUUAAAGCUUUAUGCGCUUUGGGAGCGGCCUGCGUAAGAUUAGUUUGUUGGUGAGGUAAUGGCUCACCAAGACUACGAUCUUUAGCUGGUCUGAGAGGAUGAUCAGCCAGACUGGGACUGAGACACGGCCCAGACUCCUACGGGAGGCAGCAGUAGGGAAUUUUCCACAAUGGACGAAAGUCUGAUGGAGCAACGCCGCGUGCAGGAUGAAGGCCUUCGGGUUGUAAACUGCUUUAUCUGUGACGAUUAUGACGGUAGCAGAUGAUAAGGAUCGGCUAACGUCCGUGCCAGCAGCCGCGGUAAU